rnacentral:lncRNA from 1 species
CACCAAACUGUCAUUUGACAAGUGUUUCUGAGCAUGUUCAACUUUUCCUGCUGUUUUCUUCCUUUUCUUUGUCUGGCUCAAAAUCUCCAUUUCGAGACUUUGAACAUUUUCUUUCAGGUGUGAACACACCAAUUCAAUCCUAAAAUAUUGAUUUCAAAAUAAUUAUUUGCACAGAUCUGUUAAAAAUGCAUAACCUUUGAAAGACUACUCACAAUUUUAAAAGUUAGAAAAAGUAGAUGAUUUGGUAGGUAAGAUUUUUCUCAUUGUGCUUGUUGACACUUUUUCUUUGGCAUUAUUGGGAGUGAACACAGGGCUCCACGUGGAAAGCACAUGCUCUCUCCUCACUGUACUAUUUCUGCUCCCCUAAAUUACUCCUUUCAGGUACAUUUAUCAAAGCUAGAAUUUUCCCCUGGCCUAAUGAAGAUUUAGUACUUAUAUAACUGCAAUAUGUCUCAUAUUAUGCUGCUGAUUUCCUUUAGAGAUGCUCAAGUCAUUUGGUUAAGCCAUACCUGUCUAAGGGUUCUUCCAUUUUUUCAUCAUGUUGCACAGAGCUUGUACCUGGGCUUCUGUCAACUGAAAAUUAACAAAAAGUUGAUUAACAACCUGCCCAUCCCUGGUGUUUGUUUCAUAACUGUAGUGAACACAGCUAUAAUGCUCCACUUCCAUAUGGUUUAUAGUUACCUCUGUGCUGUGUCUACACCGUUAGCUGAACUGCUGACGCAGGGAUCCAAUGGCCCACACCUUACAAAAUAACACCCUCUCCCCACUACUUAAGUUACUGACCCCAGCUCUAGGUCUGAAAUAUAUUAUGUUCCUGAUUUUAGACUGUUAGCAGGUCCUCAAACUGACAAAACUAGAAGGUUAGCACAGUGCUAUGGACCUGCAUUUCUGGAUGCUUGGAAAGCUGAUGCUUGAGACCAGCCUGGGCAAUAGGGGGAGACUACUAUUGUGCAGGAAACAAUAAAGGUGAAUAUUUUGAUAAAAUGGAGAGAAAGAGGAAGUCCCUUUACUUGUGCUGUCCUUUUAGUUGUAUUUUUACAUUCCACGCAUUACAUCCUACUUUAUGGAUUCCAAGUACUAUUUAUCAACUAUGAUAUGAAUAAUGCUUAUAUGACUAAGAGCAAUGCCAAUGAUAAUAAUACAGAAAUGACACUGCAGUAACAUCUAGAUGUCUCCAGGAACUGUUGGACAAACAGUAUCUAGACAGACACCAGCAUGCCUGGGCCAGAGUUCCAACUCCACCAGUCAAUGGCAGUGGGAGCUCUAUAAAAUCUUUCCUAUUAGGUAUUAUUGUGUUUUCUGUUUUGAUAAAGUUUGAUAUUGUAGGAAAGCUGAGGCAAAAGUUUCCUGAGGUCAAGUGCAGUCUUGAUAAUUUAUUCAGAAGAGCUGUCAAAAUUUAAAUCAGAAGCUGGGCUUCGUGUCACACAGCUGUGAUUCUGUCACUCAGGAGGCUGAGUCAACAGGGUUACUAUAACCAUGAGACCACCUUGGAGAGGCACAGUAAAUUCAAGGCCAGCCUGGGUUACGCAGCGAAACCCUGUCUCCAAUAACCAGAAAGAAAUUAAUUAAUCCAGGUAUAGUUGCACAUGUCUAUUGUCCUAGCAAUAGGGUUGGCUCAUGCAUGAGGCUGGCUCAUUUGAGCCCAGGGCAACUUAGAGAGGCCCUGUUCAGAAAGAAACAAAAAUUGCCCAUGGAUAAAGCUCUGUGGAGGACCCUGGGUUCAGUCACCAGUGCCAGAACUGUCUGGAAGGUGAAGAGGAGAUAAUGGAGUUUUCAGAAUGGCCCAGGGCUCUGUACUGGGCUGUAAUGAGAAAGGCACAGGUGGAUGGGAGGAAGGAAAAAGGGAGAUACUUUCCUGCUCCAAGGGACCUCCUCAGCUGACCUCAGGGGAGAGAAAGCAAAAUGUUAUGUUUUUGGCAGGUGGUGGACAAUGGGACAGGCUUUUUGUGCAAGCUGAACUGGUCACUCAUGAUGAAGGUGGCAAUAAAUGCAGAGUAUGCAGCCCAAAAGACAUCCCUGCAGUCCAGUGAGACUCAUCAGUUAGCUCAAGUAGUCAGUGGCACUUGAUUUGUAACAACUCACAGCUUAUUCUCACAUAGCAGUGCCCAGUGGGCAAUGAUCACUCAAACAGUGCUUCCUGGGUUAAGCGGUAUGUACAUAACAUGCCCAUGAGUGGAGGCUAACCCACUGAGCUGAUACUAUUGGGCCCUGCUGCUAAAUAAAGGUCCUCAAAUCAAUUCAUUUGUAGCAACUGCUAGGCCUCUUCAGAAAGCAGUCUGAUGUUCAAAUGAACGGUGUGGUAUGGUACUUCACAAGAGCUUUUAGGUUGGUCAAAUGCCUGGUCUGUGAAUCCUGCGCAUAGCUAUGUGAUGAAGGCAAAACUCCACUUUUUCAUGGUAAGGAAAAUAUGAUCAGUUGACAUGAAAUUCUCCAUUAGAUUGCGUACUUUCAAUUUUGUAUUUCUUAAAGUAUUGUCAAUGCUAUUAUGUCAAUGUUUCAAAGAAAUUAUCGGUUAUAGUAUAAUUAAGUCCUUAAUAGUUUUUUGAGCCACAGUCUUGCUAUUUCAUGCCACCUGGCCUAGCACUCAUAGCACUCACCCUGUCUCAGCCUCCCAGGACUGCGAUUACAGGUGAGUGCCAACAUGCAAGGCUGUGAAUAUUAAAUUGCAUAAAUGAAAUCUAAAAUUUGUUAAAGAGUGAAAGCAUUUAUUAAAUAUAGGCACAAAUGGUAUAAAAUAAAAUUUCAUUAAACACUUCAC